rnacentral:rRNA from 1 species
GCGGUGGAGUAUGUGGUUUAAUCGAUGCAACGCGAAGAACCUUACCUGGUCUUGACAUCCCGGAGACCUUUAGGAAACUAGGGGGUGCUUCCAUCUGGAAGAAUCUGGAGACAGGUGCUGCAUGGCUGUCGUCAGCUCGUGUCGUGAGAUGUUGGGUUAAGUCCCGCAACGAGCGCAACCCUUGCCUUUAGUUGCCAGCAGUUCGGCUGGGCACUCUAAAGGGACUGCCGGUGUUAAACCGGAGGAAGGUGGGGAUGACGUCAAGUCCUCAUGGCCUUUAUGACCAGGGCUACACACGUACUACAAUGGCCGAUACAAAGGGCAGCGACACUGCGAGGUGAAGCCAAUCCCGUAAAAUCGGUCUCAGUCCGGAUUGGAGUCUGCAACUCGACUCCAUGAAGUUGGAAUCGCUAGUAAUCGUGGAUCAGCAUGCCACGGUGAAUACGUUCCCGGGCCUU